GCGGCUGCGGUCCGCGGCUUGGUCAGGCGGCGUCUGGGCUCUCCAUCGGUAUUAACCCUAUAGGCUGCCUGGGGGCAGGACGUCUCUCCAAGCCCAGCUUGGCCGCUUGCCUCCUCGUGGGAGUAAGUGCUUUUCUCUUUCUUCACCUGGGACCCUCCAGAGGGUGCAGGAGAAGAGAGGCUGAGAGCGGAUGGAAAGCCUGACUGCAUGUGGUGCCCCUGGUGGGAGUGAGGUAGGGAACGAGGGGAGGAAAGACAGUGGGUGAGGGGCUUCCUGUUGCAGCUCAGCUGGACUCCGAGGGUUGGGGUCACUGGAGGAGGUGGCUUCCUGCCUCAUUGUUCAAGACUUCAUUGUUUCUUAGGAAUACUUACCCUAAGUGGGUUUUCAAUAACCAACUUGGAAAGCUGCCUUUGUUCCCAUCAUUCAGCAAACAAUGAGCACCCACUGUGUGCAGAGGCAGCAGCACAGCCUUAUCACUGG